rnacentral:lncRNA from 1 species
AAAUAUUCUAGUCUUAUCUACAUUAAGGUACCUAAACAGGCCCUAGCCGUCCUUUAGGUAGUCCAUGAUGUUAGUAGGCGUGAUCAGUUCCUGAUGAAACUGAGACCUGAAUUUGAAGUUGCUCGGGCUGAAUUGUUGAAUAGAGAUCCGGUUCCUUCUUCGGAUGUGUGUCUUGCUGAGUUGUUAUGUAAGGAAUAGAGAAUGGCUACACAAGCUACUAUAGGCGCGACCAAUGAGAUCUCGAAGGUGACAAAUGUUGCAUACGCUGCUCAAGGGAAGAAUCGAGGAAAAGAAAAAUGUAAUGUUAUAGUUGCAAGGAGUUCGGGCAUAUUGCUAGUAAUUUCGGUAAGAAAUUUUCCAAUUAGUAAGCAGAAUGGACGCAUUAUCAAGAAAUGCCCAACAAAUCCAGAAACCAGCAAGUUCAAGCCUUUCAAGGAGAUGUUCCAGACCCUAACAUUGUAUGUCCUCUAUCUGUGACCAUUAGCACCAAUCAACAUGUCCUUACUCAGAAAUGGUUCAACGUGAUUAUCUCAACAUUUUUCGCUCUUGGUCUUCAGGGCUAAGUUAAAUACGUCUCUUCCUUGGAUUGUUGAUUCUGAGCAUCUAAUCAUAUGUCUAGCUCUUUUUAUUCAUUACAUAAUCUACGGAAGUAUACUGUUACACAAAACAUUCAUGUUGCAAAUGGAAGUAGUCUUCCAAUUAAAGCCAUUGAUGAUAUUGGACCUUCUUGCAGUUAUGUUUUUGUCUCUCCCGGGUUGUUUACUAGUUUGAUUUCUAUUGGUCAAUUGGUGGAUUAUAACUACAAAUUACAUUUCUCUCGUGGUGGUUGUCUUGUGUAGGAUCAAUUGUCGAGGAAGGUGAUCGCGAUGAGAUCUAAAGUGGG